rnacentral:sRNA from 1 species
AACUUGCGUGUGUAUUCUUUCUGUGAAUAAGGGUAGGUAGGCUGGGUUGCUAUUGUCCUGCAGAAACGUACUAUUUUUAAUCUUACAGACGGGUUUUUUGCAGUGACAGUCUGUACUGGUGAGUGGAAGGGAUAAGUAUAGCAGAGACAAUGCAUUAACUUCUUUUGGAGUAGUUUCCUAUUUGUUUCUAUUUGCAAUUGCUUGAUAAAGAAGAUUUCUGUGAUUUGUCUCUUUUGACAUAUCAUGACCUUAGCUGAAAGUUUUCUUGUUGACCUCGUCCAUUAUUUUGAUGAUCCUAGCUGAAAGUUCAAUACUGACUUAGUCCAAUAAAAAAAUUUCAAUUAUGUCAAGCUAUCAUAUUUGUUGUCUUGGCUUUCCUUGGAAAGAUCUCCUGGUAUUGCAACCCUAUUUUAAAUUGAUUCAAGUUCUUCAAGUUAUUGCCUUGUUGGGGACAAUGUAAAUGUCAACCUUUUUGUUUCAUGCUGAUCCAUUCUCAGUUUUCAUGUAUUGUUUGAAUUGAGUAUCAGAUUCUCAAGAGUAAUGUUGUGACACAUAAGCAAUAUGCAUGGUAUAACAAUCCAGUUGUCAGAUGCUAUUACCAUUAAAUCAUUUGAACUCAUUAAGGGUUAGAUUCCAAAGCCAAUUGUUGCAAAUGGAUAUACUUCUCUGUUUCCUGAAAUAUAUGUCU